rnacentral:rRNA from 1 species
UACAGAGGGGGCAAGCGUUGUUCGGAAUUACUGGGCGUAAAGGGCGCGUAGGCGGCCUUCUAAGUCGAACGUGAAAUCCCCGGGCUCAACCCGGGAACUGCGUCCGAUACUGGGAGGCUUGAAUCCGGGAGAGGGAUGCGGAAUUCCAGGUGUAGCGGUGAAAUGCGUAGAUAUCUGGAGGAACACCGGUGGCGAAGGCGGCAUCCUGGACCGGCAUUGACGCUGAGGCGCGAAAGCGUGGGGAGCAAACAGG